UAAGAGUCCCACGCUCUACCGAUUGAGCUACGCGGGC
rnacentral:tRNA from 1 species